rnacentral:lncRNA from 1 species
CAGCAGGGUAAAAUAGGAGAGCAAACAGACUGGGGGCAACUCCCUCUCUCCCCUGACCAUUUUCGCUGACUUCUUGAGUUACUGUAGCAUCGCUUUCUCUUCCCACCUGUGCUGUCAGAUCCUCUUCUUACCCCAACUUGCCUUUCAAACUUGCAGAGCUGAGCAGACCACAAGAUGGCAAGGCUGUACCGAACAUGCCCGGGACAAGUGCUGCGGAUGCAACAGGUACAUGAAGGUCUGAAGGAACAAGCUGAGGAUCUACAAAAUCAGAGAUUGCUUCUGAGAGCAAA